GUUUUUUCAAUCAAAUAAAAAAAAAUUCUACCAUACUAUUAUGCAAUGUCAUAAGAUUGAAAUCAACAAGCCAAAAUACACAAUAGCUAACAAAGUCUUGAUCUAAUAAAAUAUAACGACAAUAAAUUCAAAUACGACAAUUAAAGAAGUUUAAUAUCUCAACACAACUGAAGUUUAAUUCCCUCGGCCUCUACUAGCAAGCUUCCUUGUGUUUCGUUGAGGAGCUGGCACAGGAGGCAAAGCAGUCGGAGAUCUGAUGCUUGUUGAUUCAUUCGGAAUAGGAAUUGGAAGCAAUCCAGUGUCGCCCAUAUUCUCACUUGAACUAACCUCAAACUACAUAAACAAGCAAUAACCAUUAACCAGCAAUAAACAAGCAAUAAACAAAACAGAACAAAACUUGAUAAUGCAAACAAGCAAUGAACAAGCAAUAAACAAAUUAAACCAGCAAGGCAGCAAACAAAUUGAACUUGAUAAUGUGAACCAGAAUUAAACCAAACAGAAUUGGCACUUGAUAAUGUGAACAAGCAAUGAACAAAUUAAACCAGCAAGACAGCAAUAAACACUAAACAGAAUUUGCAAAUUGAACUUGGCAAUGAACAAAUUGAACUUGCCAAAUUAAACACUAAACAGAACAAAACUUGAUAAUCUCAAAAUUAAACCAGCAAUACCAAGCAGCAAGCAGCAAUACCAAGCAAGCAAUACCAAGCAGCAAGCAGCAAUACCAAGCACCAAGCAGCAUUGCAGCAAUACCAAGCAGCAAUACUUAUAAACUAUUUUUCAGGUUAAAAUUAAAACUGAACAUUGAACAAUAACCAUUAACCAGCAAGCACCAAGCAGCAAUACCAACAACAAGGCAAGAAUGAAUCAGUAAAGUUUACCUGAAUAGAUGGCUCGGGCUCCAUAUGCACUUGAAUCGGUGGCUGGGUGGGAGGCUUUCUGGGCGGAGGCCGCGAGGUCGGAGGUGGUGAGGGGACCCUACAGAACCCAAAAACGCUGCUGGGUGGAGGCUUUCUGGGUGGAGGCGGUGACGUCGGAGGUGGUGACUGGUGAGGUCGGAGGUCCUGUGGGUGGGUGAGCCGGGGAGGGGAGGGACUCGCGCA
rnacentral:lncRNA from 1 species